rnacentral:rRNA from 1 species
UUAGGAAUAUUCGUCAAUGGGGGAAACCCUGAACGAGCAAUGCCGCGUGAGUGAUGACGGUCUUAUAGAUUGUAAAACUCUGUUGUGAAGGAAGAAAUCUUAUUAUAGGUAAUGAUAAUAAGUUGACGGUACUUUACCAGAAAGCCCCGGCUAACUACGUGCCAGCAGCCGCGGUAAUACGUAGGGGGCGAGCGUUAUCCGGAUUUAUUGGGCGUAAAGCGUGUGUAGGCGGUUUGUUAAGUAUAAGAUUAAAGCCUGGAGCUCAACUCCAGUUUGUCUUAUAAACUGGCAGACUUGAGUGUGGUAGAGGCAAGUGGAAUUUCUAGUGUAGCGGUUAAAUGCGUAGAUAUUAGAAGGAACACCAGUGGCGAAGGCGGCUUGCUGGGCCAAUACUGACGCUGAGACACGAAAGCGUGGGGAGCAAAUAGG